GAAACAGGUGCAUUUUUCUUUUGCAUUAAUGGACCAGAAAUCAUGUCCAAAUUGGCUGGUGAGAGUGAGGGUAACUUGAGGAAGGCAUUUGAGGAAGCCGAAAAGAAUGCGCCAUCUAUUAUAUUUAUUGAUGAGUUAGACUCGAUUGCUCCAAAGAGAGAAAAGACACAUGGUGAAGUUGAGCGGCGAAUAGUUUCCCAACUUCUGACAUUAAUGGAUGGACUCAAGUCUCGAUCACAUGUGAUUGUCAUGGGGGCUACCAACAGACCAAACAGUAUUGAUCCUGCUCUCAGGAGAUUUGGAAGAUUUGAUCGGGAGAUUGACAUUGGCGUACCAGAUGAAAUAGGGAGGCUGGAGAUCCUACGUAUUCAUACUAAAAACAUGAAGCUCGAUGAUAAUGUUGAUCUAGAGAGGGUUGCAAGAGACACACAUGGUUAUGUCGGAGCUGAUCUUGCUGCCUUGUGCACUGAGGCUGCACUGCAGUGUAUCAGGGAGAAAAUGGAUGUUAUUGACUUGGAGGAUGAGACCAUUGAUGCUGAAGUGUUGAAUUCAAUGGCUGUGACUAAUGAGCAUUUUCAAACUGCUCUGGGUGCUUCAAAUCCAUCAGCACUAAGAGAAACGGUAGUGGAGGUUCCCAAUACAUCUUGGGAGGAUAUUGGGGGGCUGGAAAAUGUCAAGCGGGAACUUCAAGAGACUGUUCAGUACCCG
rnacentral:misc_RNA from 1 species